rnacentral:sRNA from 1 species
GGAACAGUUACAGGAGCAGCUGAGAAGGGUCAGUUCCACCGCCCCCCUCCCCGGCCCCGCGGGCCACGCCCCAGAAGGAAGAGAGGAGAGCGGUGGGACGGGACCACCUGGCCCCUGCAGUACCCGCCGGACACCAGAGAGGCAGAGGCCCUGGAGACUGAGACAAAGCUCUUUGAGGACUUGGAGUUCCAGCAGUUGGAGCGGGAGAGCCGCGUGGAGGAGGAGCGCGAGCUGGCCGGCCAGGGGCUGCUCCGGAGCAAGGCUGAGCUGCUCCGCAGCAUCGCCAAGAGGAAGGAGCGCCUGGCCAUCCUGGACAGUCAGGCUGGGCAGAUCCGGGCUCAGGCCGUGCAGGAAUCAGAACGCCUGGCCCGGGACAAGAAUGCCUCCUUACAGCUGCUGCAAAAGGAGAAAGAGAAACUGACUGUGCUGGAAAGGAGAUACCACUCACUCACAGGGGGCAGGCCUUUCCCGAAGACCACAU